ensembl:lncRNA
GAAAAGGCAACAAGAGCAUUAUUAGCCCUGUAGCUCUAACUCCGCACAUAAAAACCAAUGCUAGCCAUGCCUGGGCUAUAAGGAAACUGGAUAGCCACAGUUGGGGAAUGUCACUGCUUUUGCUUUGGUGGCAUUUUGGUUGGCCCGAGUAAAGGUAGUAAUAAAGCAGUAAAGGUGGGUUUCAGUAUUUGUGCCACAUGUAGGGCUCCAACUCAGUCAAAUGUCCACUAGGGACUACCACACAGUUUUCUUGCGGGAGGAAGUGUUUAGGUUUUUUGUUUGUUUGUUGUUGUUUUUGCCUCAAUUAAUUUUGUGACAACGCGUUUAGUUUUAUCGCUGAAUAAUAAUACACGUGUCUGCAGUUCACCGCCAGCCGCUCCUCUCAGGAAAGCGGCAGGCGAGUUUAACAAUAGCUGAGAAGAGCUCUUCCUCGUGCGCUUGUGUCACCACGCUUUUCCCCUGCCGGCUGGCAGGCGCUCGGGGCCCCGAGCUUCCUCCGGAGCCCCUUCCUUCCGAGGCUGAAGGAAACCACCUGAGGGGCCUGUGGCGCGCGUGGGAAGGGAGGAGAGGAGGCGAAGAAGUGGGGCAAAAUUGGCGGGAACUGUCCCUUCGGCGCUUGGCGGAGCUGCUCUGCCGCUUGUUUUCGAGACUAGGCGGGGAAGCGUUUGAGGAGGAAAGGUUUCUAGACCGCAAGUGGCGAGCUGAGGGGGGGGGAACUGUGGUGUUGGGGUGCUCGUGUGGGGAAGAGGUGCCUUGCUGCGCCUCUAGGGCUUCCCCUCUACCGCGCCCCACUCCUGGUCUGGUGAGUCACCGGCAGGUCAGGAGGACCGCGCGGGAGAGGAGGGGCGAGGUGCCGCCGGGAGCCGCCACGCGAGCGGCGGAGGGAAAGGCUCCGCCAAGCCGAGACCCAGCCAGUCAAUACGCAAGCAACAAGCGAGCGAGAAAAGCCAGGAAGCCCGCGGAGCUGGAGGGCGCCUCGCUGGGCAGGCAAGCGCCGGCGGCGUCUCCCCCUCCUCUCCUCCAGGUGGCUCACGCCAAGAGAGGGAGUAGAGGAGGAAGCCGGUGGCACCACCACGGUGGGAUCCGAAAGGCACGACUCCCGAGGCGGAGAACCGGCCGGCUGAACAGCUGCAUCCUCCUCGCCUUCAGCAAGCAAGGGAUCGUUCCUAAGCCUGUGAAGUGGUGAUAAGACGAGAGAAGCUCUGAGCACGUGCAAAGCGCUUUCCUCGCCCCUGGGCAACCACAGGAGAUGCAAGAGGCGGGACUUCCACGGCAGGUGAUGCACAGGUGGCUUAAUCAGUGCCACUUUUCUUUCCUUAAAUAGAUGCUUAUUGGUAAAAAUCAGUGGAAACGCACACACCCAGAAGUUUCGAAACUGCCUGCGAUCCCAAUGCGGAGGAAUUUUAGCAGGUGUGGCCAAGCGGAAGUUGAACUUAAAGAAUCUGCCUUAGAACCUGUGACGUAAAAGGGAGUGCCUCUGAGAGAGUAUAAAGUGCAUUUUCUCCAUCUUACUUUAACCACUAGUUAUAUUUGCCAUUAGGAAACAAAAGCUCCCACGCGGUUUGGGGCCCCGUCACUUGUGCCUUUGCUUUUAAAUACACACCCUCCAGCGUCGAAUCUUGGGCUCUGGGGCGAGGUUUCUCUGUCUGCGAUUAUAACGCAGGAUCCGAUAUGGUAUUUUCUGACUCUUUGUUGAAAUGGAGUGGAUGGGAAUCUUCCGGAUCGAUGCACACAUGUAGUUUGCCAUUCACUUUAUAAAGAGGGGCGAGCGGGAGGAGAGAGAAAGAGGACGUGCUGAGCUCACUGGAAAGAGCGAAGAAUAAGCCAAGUCCUUUCUCUGAGAGAUGAUUGAAAUGAGAUCUUGGAUGAUUCAGGAGUGACUCUUUCUCCCCCCUCCCCCUCCCAAGGCGGAGUGGCAGAGAGGAGGGGGCCAGGGCGAAAGAACUGAAGUGGCUGGCGGCUCUGCAACGCGGCUUGCUUACAAAGAAGUUUGGAGACCCGCGAUCUGAGUCAGCUUGACGGCACCGGCGGCGGUGGCAUCGCCACCAAGACGCUGGCAAAGAAAGCCCCGGGAGUGUUUUUAAGAGGCAAAGGAGGCGAUCGCUCUGACAUCAACGCAUUCUUUCAGACAACCGUGCCCAGAAGGAGUGGUUUCUGCAGAGUGUUUGCAGGUGGACGCAACUCUU